AUUGAACGCUGGCUGCAUGCUUUACACAUGCAAGUCGGACGAGUGGCGAACGGGUGAGUAACGCAUCGGAACGUACUGAGUAAUGGGGGCUAACUGUCCGACAGGACAGCUAAUUCCGCAUAUUAUUCGAGCGGCCGCUGUCUGCUUAGCUGGUUGGCGGGGUAAAGGCCCACCAAGGCGACGAUCCGUAGCGGGUCUGAGAGGAUGAUCGGCAACACUGGGACUGAGACACGGCCCAGAAUCCUACGGGAGGCAGCAGUGGGGAAUUUUGGACAAGGGGCGCAAGCCUGAGCCAGCCAUGCCGGGUGUCUGAAGAAGGCCUUCGGGUGGUAAAGGACUUUUGCAAGGGAAGCGGUACCUGAAGAAUAAGCACCGGCUAACUACGUGCCAGAAGCCGCGGUAAUAC
rnacentral:rRNA from 1 species